CUGCUGCCUCCCGUAGGAGUCUGGUCCGUGUCCCAGUACCAGUGUGGGGGACCUUCCUCUCAGAACCCCUACGCAUCGUCGUCUUGGUGGUCCGUUACACCGCCAACUAACUAAUGCGACGCAUGCCCAUCCGCCACCGGAAUUAACCUUUGGCACCAACAGGAUGUCCCGUCGAUGCAUUAUGCCGUAUUAGACGGAAUUUCUCCCGAUUAUCCGGCUGUGGCAGGCAGGUUGCAUACGUGUUACUCACCCGUGCG
rnacentral:rRNA from 1 species